UAACGCGUGAGGAACCUGCCUCAAAGAGGGGGACAACAGUUGGAAACGACUGCUAAUACCGCAUAAGCCCACAGCUCGGCAUCGAGCAGAGGGAAAAGGAGUGAUCCGCUUUGAGAUGGCCUCGCGUCCGAUUAGCUAGUUGGUGAGGUAAUGGCCCACCAAGGCGACGAUCGGUGGCCGGACUGAGAGGUUGAACGGCCACAUUGGGACUGAGACACGGCCCAG
rnacentral:rRNA from 1 species